rnacentral:rRNA from 1 species
UUCCUACGGGACGCAGCAGUGGGGGAUAUUGCACAAUGGGGGAAACCCUGAUGCAGCGACGCCGCGUGAGUGAAGAAGUAUUUCGGUACGUAAAGCUCUAUCAGCAGGGAAGAAUAAUGACGGUACCUGACUAAGAAGCCCCGGCUAACUACGUGCCAGCAGCCGCGGUAAUACGUAGGGGGCAAGCGUUAUCCGGAUUUAUUGGGUUUAAAGGGUGCGUAGGCGGUCCGUUAAGUCAGCGGUAAAAUUGCGGGGCUCAACCCCGUCGAGCCGUUGAAACUGGCAGACUUGAGUUGGCGAGAAGU